rnacentral:rRNA from 1 species
GAUGAACGCUGGCGGCGUGCCUAAUACAUGCAAGUAGAACGCUGAAGGAGGAGCUUGCUUCUCCGGAUGAGUUGCGAACGGGUGAGCAACGCGUAGGUAACCUGCCUGGUAGCGGGGGAUAACUAUUGGAAACGAUAGCUAAUACCGCAUAACAGUAGAUAUCGCAUGAUAUCUGCUUGAAAGGUGCAAUUGCAUCACUACCAGAUGGACCUGCGUUGUAUUAGCUAGUUGGUGAGGUAACGGCUCACCAAGGCGACGAUACAUAGCCGACCUGAGAGGGUGAUCGGCCACACUGGGACUGAGACACGGCCCAGACUCCUACGGGAGGCAGCAGUAGGGAAUCUUCGGCAAUGGACGGAAGUCUGACCGAGCAACGCCGCGUGAGUGAAGAAGGUUUUCGGAUCGUAAAGCUCUGUUGUAAGAGAAGAACGAGUGUGAGAGUGGAAAGUUCACACUGUGACGGUAUCUUACCAGAAAGGGACGGCUAACUACGUG